CCUACGGGAGGCAGCAGUGGGGAAUAUUGGACAAUGGGCGAAAGCCUGAUCCAGCAAUGCCGCGUGAGUGAUGAAGGCCUUAGGGUUGUAAAGCUCUUUUACCAGGGAUGAUAAUGACAGUACCUGGAGAAUAAGCUCCGGCUAACUCCGUGCCAGCAGCCGCGGUAAUACGGAGGGAGCUAGCGUUGUUCGGAAUUACUGGGCGUAAAGCGUGCGUAGGCGGCUAUUCAAGUCAGAGGUGAAAGCCCGGGGCUCAACCCCGGAACGGCCUUUGAAACUAGGUAGCUAGAAUCUUGGAGAGGUUAGUGGAAUUCCGAGUGUAGAGGUGAAAUUCGUAGAUAUUCGGAAGAACACCAGUGGCGAAGGCGACUAACUGGACAAGUAUUGACGCUGAGGUACGAAAGCGUGGGGAGCAAACAGGAUUAGAUACCCUGGUAGUCCACGCCGUAAACGAUGAUAACUAGCUGUCCGGGCACUUGGUGCUUGGGUGGCGCAGCUACGCAUUAAGUUAUCCGUCCGUCGGGUAGGUACGGUCGCGAAGAAUUAAAACUUAAAACGUAAAGUUAGUACGGCGUGAGACGUGCCGACGGACGACGACGAGGGAGGUAGG
rnacentral:rRNA from 1 species